CGGCACCACCCUCCACGAGCCCAGCCAAUCGCCGGCCGUCUGGAGAAGUUCCCGCCCUCCGGGAGCCUUCCCGCCACGUGAUUAGCCUGUGAGGAAGCGAGGCGCGGACGCUGGGCGCCGGAAAUCACGUGAUGCUGAAGGCUCCAGCUUCUUAAAGCAACAGCUCUCGCUAGUUUGCGAAGCAGGUGUGUAUGGUUUGGCAUGCAUUGAAUAAACAUGUCCUCUAAUCCCAGCUACUCAGGAGGCUGAGGCAGGAAGAUCGCAAGUGCAAGACUGAAGCGAACCUCAGCAGCUUGUUUUCGGCAGACACAACAUCUUUGGUUGUAUGUGGUGCUGAGGAUUGAACCCGGGCCGCACGCAUGCCAGGCGAGCGCGCUACCGCUUGAGCCACAUCCCCAGCCCCAAGGGAGGAACUUUUUAUAUGAAGAUUCUCGGGAAUUAUUAUGAAAAAUACUCUAAAUCAAGAUCAUUCAUUCAGGAAACACUGAGGCCCAUGAUGUGCCAUGCCAGGUUCCCUGGGCACAGGGUAUAGAGAAACCCAGCAGAAUCACAGAAGAGCACACACAGGAACAAUGAUUAAACUCUGAGCUCUACGAGGACUAGCCUAAUUCUGUUUUCAAUGCAUGUUUGCAGGAUCCAACAUACGCCCUGACACACAACAGGAGCUUUUAAAGUGUUUGCAGACUAAAGGAAAAGUCCAAUCUCGACUGAGGGAAGUCUCAUUAUCCAAUUUUGCAGAGGACGCCUUGGGAAGGAAGCAACUGGCUGCCUGGGGCCUGGGAGGGUGAGAGGGCUUCCCAGAGUGGGUUGCACGGCCUUACAAGAUGAGUAGGAAUUAGGUAGAGAGUUGUUGGCUUGGGGCACUGUGUGCGCAAAGACCUUACAGCGCGAUGGGAGCAAACUUACUUUC